rnacentral:rRNA from 1 species
AACGUAGGUGGCGAGCGUUAUCCGGAUUUACUGGGCGUAAAGAGUGUGCAGGCGGGGUAUCAAGUGGUGUAUGAAAGGAGGCGGCUCAACUGCCUCAUGUUAUGCCAGACUGAUGCUCUUGAGGACCAAACAGGGCUGUGGAAUUCCGGGUGUAGUGGUGAAAUUCGUAGAUAUUCGCAAGAACACCAGUGGCGAAGGCGGCUCACUGGCCCGGUACUGACGCUGAGGUGCGAAAGCGUGGGGAGCAAACAGG